ensembl:lncRNA
AGAUUGUGGAGUACAAAGAUGUCCAAGCCUGCUUCUCGUAGCUCUCAGCUGCUGCUGUCGGAUCAGAAGUGUGCUAAAUGUCUGUUGGAGACGUAUGUCAAGCGGAGCCUCAGCCUGAAUGAAGGAUGCAGGAAACAUCAGCUAAAUAAACACAAAUGGCUUAAACCAGACAGGCAGUCCAGACGGGCGUCCAGUGACACCUCCACCCAGCGUUUGAGAGUAGAGAGGCUCCUGAAGACCAGCGAGUGCCCUGAAUGCACAACACCAGAACUUGUCACUAGGAGAAAGAGCACCAAAGCACCAAACAGAACCAAAUCAUUCUUCAGAGGCUUUCUCCACCUCUUCUCUAAGAAGAAGACCGAGCCCAAAGUGAAAGAUGAGCGAGUUACAGAAACAGACUCUGGACAACAUAUGAUAGAACGGGGGCUUCGCUCUUCUCAGAAAGGAUCUUCUUUAGCAAUCAAAAUGAUGAGAAAAGAGAGUCCCUGCAAAAGGACUCCUCUCGUGUUCGUGGAGGCGUGGAGGGGCUUUCAGACGUGA